ensembl:lincRNA
GACGCGGGGCAGCGUGUGGUGCGUUCCCGCGUGCAGCUCGUGUUCUAGUGCCGUUAUCCGGUUCUGACCCCAAGCUGGGUGCUGUACCCCUCUCAGAACUGCGGAACGAGUAAGAAGACAAAGCACAGACAGUGCAACCAAGGGGACUUUUACUCUUGGCCCAGAAGAAUGGGAGGAGUCUAGAUAAACUGCAAAUCCCGUCUGUGACCUCUUGGAGGCUGGGAGGCUAUAGCAGGGUUCUGUUCAGACGAAGCUGUGGAGAGCAGAGACCGGCAGCCCCCUCUGAGUUCAGCCUUCAAUACCCGCAGAUCUUUCCCUUGUGUUCCUUGAAGCAAGCAGCCUGGCUUAUCCACUCCGGAAGGUUUGUUUGUUCCUUGGCUAGAUUCUCUAUGUGCCUGGCAGAUCAGGAGAGACAGAGGAAGGAUUGCCUUAGGUGGCUGCAGCGGAGAACUAAUGGAGGGAAGGCUUGAGGGCUUUGUCCAGGGGUAUCUGGCUGGAAAUCUGUGGAUGCUCCCUGUCACACAAACGUGCCCAGUCGAAUAUUCUAGUGAGCCUUUUGAUGGCAUCAGAAUAAAGGUGAACCUCUGAGAGAGAAGGCUGACUUUUGUUGGUGUUUGAGGUAUAAGAAUCCAGAGACCUUUGAGUGGGCCUUUUGAAAGCGAGAGGUCCGUCUCCCUAUACCUUUCAGUGUCGAUGUCCAGACUUCCAAGUCUUAGGUGGCCCCCAUGUGCCUUUUAAACCGAUGUCAUUACAAAGAUGUUACAAUCCCCAUCCUUUUUUUAGAAUCACACAAAGAACUAUCCUUAAUAUGAAAUGGGAUAUAAAAAGCAAUUUCUUAUCUGUGAGUCCUCCAGCAAUCAUCAGUGACAUCCAUGAUUAAUGAGUGCAUGGGUGGUUCCUAGAAUGCUAAUUGUCGUUCUGUGGUAUAGAAUCACAACCUGGGUUUUUUGUUUCUCUCUCUUUUUGGCCUUCUGUCCAAGUGUGCCUCUAUCCAAAUCUAAAUAGCAUUUGCCAUGACACAGUUUGUACCCUCAGCAGUUACAAAUGCAAACUAUUUUAUAGUUUUGUAUAAGCAAAUAGUAAAAUUCACGCUUAAAAUGUACAAAAAGGAAAUGAGAUGUCGUGCAUGAUGCUGUCCGUUCAUUAGUGAGCGGGAAUCAGGAGUGCGGUCUGUGGAGAUUCUGUGGAGGUGGACUGACCUGGAUGAAAACUCAUUCUUCUCUUUCAAUGACUGAGUGUCUGUCUUGUCCAGUAAACAAACCUGUCUACCUUUCUGUGCUCUUGGGAUAACGGCAAUGAUCUCUCCAGGUUCUUUCAUGGCAUUAAUGAGAUGAUUCAUAUGAAAGAUUGUCAUUUUUUCCUGGCACAGAAGGGACACAAGGAACACUCUUUAUUGGUUUUUGUUUUUUUGGUACAGGGGAUCAAACUCUGGACCUUCCGCUUGAGAGGCAGGCAAUGGCACCAUUGAGCUAAAUCCCUGGUCCCAGGAACACUCUUUAUUGUUGGUGCAGAAACACUUGUAUCUUGAAUCUUGCUAUAACGUGGAGAAGUUAU